GACGAACGCUGGCGGCGUGCUUAACACAUGCAAGUCGAACGGAAAGGCCCUGCUUUUGUGGGGUGCUCGAGUGGCGAACGGGUGAGUAACACGUGAGUAACCUGCCCUUGACUUUGGGAUAACUUCAGGAAACUGGGGCUAAUACCGGAUAGGAGCUCCUGCUGCAUGGUGGGGGUUGGAAAGUUUCGGCGGUUGGGGAUGGACUCGCGGCUUAUCCGCUUGUUGGUGGGGUAGUGGCUUACCAAGGCUUUGACGGGUAGCCGGCCUGAGAGGGUGACCGGCCACAUUGGGACUGAGAUACGGCCCAGAAUCCUACGGGAGGCAGCAGUGGGGAAUAUUACACAAUGGGGGGAAGCCUGAGGCAGCAGCGCUGCGUGCGGGAUGACGGCCUUCGGGUUGAAAACCGCUUUCGCCUGUGACGAAGCGUGAGUGACGGUAAUGGGUAAAGAAGCACCGGCUAACUACGUG
rnacentral:rRNA from 1 species